CAUAUUGUGUUUAUUUCUUUUAUUUGCUCGGUUUUCUUUUCUUAUUUUUUUCUUCACCGAAUGCCCUUUUUCGUGCUUCAUUUUGAAUCUUCGAGUUAUAAAUUUUUCUCUUUUUUUUUCUUUCUUUCUUUCUCUCGAGUCAUCAUUUUUCUUUUUCUUCUCGCACUUUCUUGGACUUUGGGAGCUUUGGGGUUUUUACGCCAAACUUAGCUUUUCAACACAGUUUGAAUGCAUUAUCAUGACUCUGAACAGGGUAAGGAAGUGUUUU
rnacentral:lncRNA from 1 species